GUAAGAAAGUUCUAUCUAGGUAAUUUAAUGUAACAUUGAAAUAGAUACUUUUUGGCAGUCUGAACUUCCCAAAGUAUGAUGGUCUUUCCUGCUAAACAUUUCCCUUUUCAACUCUUAAAGAGUGUUAUGGUGUUGUUUAGAUUCUGCACUUCUGGAUAAUUCAAGUACUCUCUCUUAUCAGAGACGUGUCUUGAUAGAGUUUUAUAUAAUAUAACUAUGUUAUUUCUUACAACAUCAAUUCUCUCAACUCUCUCAACUCUGGCUGUUAUUUUCUAGAUCUGUGUGAUUUGUGGUCUCUUUCACUAAAUGCAGAUAUUAUUUGUCAUUGUUCUCCCAGGCGAUUGACAAAAUAUUUCUAUUAAUACAGUGAUCAAAAAUCUAUGUAACAAAAGGCAGGUAAAGAACCAAAGGUGCAAAUCAUGUUAAGAUGUUAAUCUCGGUUUUAGAAAAAAUAGAUCCUGUUCACUCUUGGUAAUACUCCUGUUAUAUGAAUGUAUAUGGACAUCUCCAUUACUAAGAUGUUCCUGAUUUCUUCAAACGCAGUCAAGUUAUGCCUGGGGCUGUCCUCUCAUCUGAAGCUUUUCUCUUAUUUCUGCUUGCUCCCCUCCUCCUUCCUUUUAUUUAUUUUUUAUUUUUUAUUUUUUACCCUACUGCAAAUGUGCUAACCUAAUUCUUCAAGAGCUGCAAAAAUCCUGCCUUCCUAAAGAAAGAACCUGUAGGGGAUUUUUCAUAAUUAAGGACAUUUGAUACACGAUGUUCACUUUUCUUAAAUAAAAGAAGUACAAUGUGGAUAUUGCGGGACAGAGGUUGUUUUUUUUUGUUUUUUGUUUUUUUUUUUUCCCCUACAGAAAUUAAUUAUUUCAACUAUUUUUUCAGCCCCAGUCAGAAUAAAAUGACAAAAUACCGAAAUUUCUCCCUGUAUUGAAAACUUACAAGACUGUUCUCUGCUGAACAGGCUAAGAUUACUUUCUAUGAUCACACCUGCUAAAAUAUUUCAUUUAAAUGACUUGUCAGACAAUUGUCUUGGGCAUCCUAAACAGAGAAAGCCUGCAUGUAAACUGAUGUGCACAGUAGUAACAGCUGUUUGACUACAGGUUACAGCUCUUCAGCGUCUCUAUCUUACUUACUGUCUCUAUUCCAUCAGAGUAGUAAUCAUCUGGGGAAAAAAACAAAACAACAACAACAAAAAAAAACCCCAAGUAAACGGAGAGAGAAUGAAUAAAAACAUUAACCUCAUCUUAAAAGUGAAAAAUUGCAGUGUUUUCAUUUUAUUCACCAGUCUAUUAUUGGAUGGUUAUUAUAUUCUCAGUUUGAUGUAAACCUGAAUAACAUGAGAUUUUAUUAUAAUUACAUAUCAGCUAUGAGCUCCAAAUGCUAUGCUGUCUAAAUGUCAUAGUGUAAUCUGCAUUAGGAGCUUGAGUCAUACAUGCAGCCAAAGGAGAAACUGGAGAACCCUACGGGAGAUAUAGUUGAGUCAGUGAUUGAUCCCAAUAAAAGAAGGCUAUGAACUAUACAAACUAAAUCAGCUAAAGGCCCACACAAAGGUUCAAGCAGUGUCAAACUAAUAUAUAAAAAAAUUGAAACAUUUUUAUAUUUAAUUUUACAAAUCAGAAUGUCAAGAGUCAGGUUUACUUGUCCACAAAUAAAAUAUUUUGUUCAGAAUUCAAUAAACAUUUGAAAUUCUGAGGCAAAAAUGAAAUUUAAACAUGGAAAAAAAGUCAUUAUAAAAAGUUUGAGAAUUAACACUCUAAAAGUUCAAUGAGCUCAUUUUGACAGCUUUUCAAAUCUUUGUCAGCCAUCAAUGUCUUUUCUGAUUUUCUCUGUUAGUAACAAUGUUAAAAAGAUAGAUUCAUAAUUCAUAAAUUAACUACUAUUAGAUCUCAUUCUGUCCACUUUAACAGUCUUCAUUCAUCGUGAAAUUAGUGAAAGGCUAAUUAAUGAUUUUCUCCAGCCUUUACAAUUCUCACUGUUCCUCAGAUUGGCUCAGCACAGGGAAAGUGAGACAUUUCCCAUCUUGUAUGUCUUUGGUAAUGUAAACUGGCAGAAGAGAAAGAAACAUGGCUUAAAUAUGUUACUACUAAAUAUCCAAAUCUUUGGAUAUAAAUUAGUCACAGAUGACAACAUCAGCUGUCCUAAGAAUUCCACUGUAUCAUGUUAUGAUGAGCUGACUGUUAGCAUGCAGAUACCGUGAAUAAGAAAAAAUAUUCCUUUAAGAAGAUAUCAACACUAAAAAUAAUGUGAUAUUAUACAACUGCUACAUAACAGUAGAGCUUGCAGCAAAGUAGUGUAGAACUCACUACUAUUUAAUGAAUGUAACUAAAAUGUAAGAAGACACAACAUAUAAGUAGCAACAGAAAGGGAAUGCAGAUGAAGAUGAUACUGAGAACUGAAAGUUAAUGGAGACAGUGAAAGGGGAAUCCAUACUUAUGCAACAGCAGACAGAUCUGUUCUAGAAAAGUUUCCAAUGACGCUACACAUUCAGAAUCAGGCUAUAGAAAGGAAUAUGGAAGAAAAAAAAAAGGCGAAAGGAGGACAGAAACAGGAUGAGAUGAAAUGGGCAUUGAAGAAGAAUUAGUAAAUGAAGAAUAGGCAUUUGUACACAAUUCAAAGCUAUUUAAUAGUAUCACACUUCUGACCUUGUAAAUUCCACAUAUGCAUUUACUUUCACAGUGCUACUAAUAUUCUUAACAGCAAUGCUUUUUAUCCCAUUAAAAAAGCAGCUGCGCUCACAGUACAUGAGUUAUCAUUAUGUCAGAAUUAUAAUAACAAAGGCAGUUAGGGAACGCUAAAGGAAACAUUCAGACGAGGGCUCAGAGUUAGUGGGAAAUUAGCUACUUUUUAUGCAUUUCAAGAGGCACUCCACCUACAUGAUUUUAUAAUUCUUUUGAACACUUCUGCAUUGUAUCAUCUAACCUAGAGUUGUAUUUCCAGAUUGCAUUUAAUAUCUACAGAACUUCAGGUAGAAUAUUUAGAAACAGUAAAUUUGUCUAUUUACAAACAGUAGUUCUACUUUAGCCCAUUCUUUUGAAACAAAAAAGAGCUAAUUACAUAAAUAUGUAUUUCCUGUUAGUGGCCUUCUUAAUAUAGGUAAAUAGAUAUAAAUAGAUAAGAAAUGGGAUUUUUUAUCAACUUGUAAAAAAAUAGUAGGCUUUUUGGGAAGUGGUCUCAAUAGGAAACAGAUUCUGGAAAUCUUGAAAGCUCUCUUUCUAAAAAGACAGGAGGAACCUCCUGAAGGUUCUCAACUAUUCAAUUGUCUCUUUUGUUUUUAAAGUCAGGAACAUUAGAACUAUUUUUUUUCCCUCUUUGUUUAGGAGACCUUAUUUAUACAACGUACUUAAAAUAUGAACACAGAUGUUUGCAGAUGUCUCUGUCCUUAGCUUUCUUUCCCAAGUAAUUGAAAACAAGAACAACAAAAUUGAACUGCUGAACGUGAUGACUUAAUUUCUAAGUUGUAGAUUGAAUGGCCUUCACAAGUGUUGUAAAUUUCUCAGAAAAACAAACAAACAAACAAACACUAUCAACAACAAAAGCCAACCACUAUCAAGGGAGAAGCAUUUGUUCCCCCUUGCAGUGCUUCAUGGUAGAAAGAAUCUUUGAUCUGUAGCCAGAGUUGCAUACUCAAAGUUUCUCCUAAUUACAACAGCUAGAUACAUGUUCUGGUUUAACCCAGCAAGCAGCUCCUCCCUCCCAGUGGGAUGGGGGAGAAAGUCAGAAAAAAAAAAGAAAAACAACAAAGUAGAACUCGUGGGUUGAGAUAAAAGCUAUUUACUAAGGCAGAAAAGGAGGAGAAAAGGAGAAUAAUAGUAACGAUAAUUAUAUAUAUUUACAAAACAAACAAUGCACAAAACAUUGCUCACCACCCACCAACGGAUGUCCAGUAAGUCUCAAUGCAAUGAUUGUUCCUCAGUCAAUUCCCCACAAUUUUACAAGUUUUCUAACAUGAUGUCAUAUGUUAUGGAAUAUCCCUUUGGCCAGUUUGGGUCAGCUGACCUGGUUCUGUCCUCUCUUAGCUCCUUGUGCACCUUCAGCCCUGCUUGCUAACAGGACAAAGCAUGAGAGUGAAACAUCUUUGGCUCUGUACAGCACUGCUCAGCAACAGCUAAAAUGUUAGAAUGUUAGCACUACUGUUUUUCUCCCGAAGUACAAUACACUGAAUAAAGAAUGAAAAACCAGCAUCUCUCCCAGCUUAAUUGGGGCACUAGAUAAAGUUAUCAGUUUCCAGAUGAAGACAAACUAAAGGUAAUUUUUCAUGUAAUGCUUAGCUAAAUUACAGAAAUCUUUGGUACAGUAUAUUGUCGAUGAUAACAUUUCAGAAAGUUUCUUAAUUGAUUAGAUGUUCCAGUAGAAACUGUAUUACACAAAGCACACAUCUGGGUAUACAGCAGAACCAGACUUGUCCUUGAUAAUUCUCCUCCACUGAAUUCAUAGUACCAGUCAUUUUGGAGUCAGAAUAUGAAAAUAUUCUGCAUUUUUCUCUUUGACAUAUUUAUUCCAACAGUAUGUUUCAUACUUAUACAAUUAUAUACACAGUAAGGUUUUCUAGUUUCUAACACACAUGAAGUCUUGAUCAUGCCACAUAGAAAGUUGUUUGGUAUAGAUUUUAAAAAUAUACGAGUAACCCUAACAUUCUCACAUGUGGAAAGCACAACCAGCUCAUUCACUCUUAACAUUAAAAUACUAAUUCUGCUAAAGUCUGAAGGCUAGCUUCAUAUGAAUCAUCUUCCAUACGAUUUUUGCAUUUUAUCUUCAGAAAAGCCAGCUAGUCUUCUCAGUUUCAGAUGAUCUCUUUAAGGUGUAAUGAGAAUAUUACAAGACUUGUAAGGCUUGAAUGCAUGGCUUGUUGCUAUGUUAUAAAAAAUGAUCAUUUUAGGCCAUUGACAUAGAAUUCUUUUACAUGCAUAAUUUUGCACUUAACAUUUACAUCAUUAAAUCCUAAUGUUCAUUCAAAUACAUAAUUUAAUACAACCGUUUUUCACACACGCUGUCUUUCCAUUUGACUGAAAGAGUUCAGUUGUGCACAUCAUUUAACUCUUCAGUGAUUCAGACCAAGGAAAAGUGAUUCAACUCCUUCAUUUUAGUUAAAAUAAAAAAAUUUUUUGCCAUAUUCCCCAUGUCUACAGAAUUAUAAGUUUGUUGUAGUUAGAAGGGACCUCUGGAGGUUAUUUUGUUCCAGGUCUCUGAUGUAACAUGGUCCCACUGAGCAUGUUACCUGGGACUAAAUCUAGUCACUUCCUGAAGAUCUCUAAGGAAGGAGACUCCACAAUUCCUCAGGGCUAUUAGUGCCGUAGUUCAGUCGUACAUAAGUGUUCCUGAUGUUCAGAUGGACCCUCCUGUGUUGCUGUCAUUCCUGAUGAUAUCACUUUCUCCAGGCUAACGGUUUCAAACUCUCAGCUUUUCCUCACAAGAUGCCUGAGUCCUUUAACCAUCUUAGUCGCCUUCAGUGGACAUGAGUAGCUCCAUACCUCUCUUUGUAGAAGCCUAGAACUGGUUGUAGUACUCCAGAUGUGGACUUAUAGAGGAAGAAUCACCUCCCUCAACCUGCUGGCAACUGUCCUACUAAUGCAGACCAUGAUACCAUUGAACUUAUUAUCUUCAUGAACAGAUUACUGGCUCGUGUUCCUCUUGGCAUCCACUGGGAUCCUCAGGCCCUUUUCUGCCACAUAUUUUUUUUCUCCACAUUUUCUCUAGUCUUACUUGACUUUAUAUUCAUUGAGAUUAACCUCUCUUGAGCUUAGUUGAGGUGAUCCUUAAAUAUUAACCAGAUUUCUUGGGUGCCUCUUCCAUCCAGGCCCUUAGCCCAUGAAACUUGUCCAAACAGAUGCAUGAAGAUGUCAAGGUCUACUUCUCUGACUCAAAAGUUUUGGACUUAGUUUUAUGCUCUAUAUUCCCCUUAGAAUCUUAAAUUCUGGUACCUCACAUUCAUUUCAGCCCAGGCUACCUUUGGCUUUCAAAUCUCCACUGAGAGCCUCCUCGUUGGUGAGCAUAAGAUCAUAGAAUCGUAGAAUCAUAGAAAGGCCUGGGUUGAAAAGGACCUCAAAGAUCACCUAGUUUCAACCCCCCUGCUAGACCAGGCUGCCCAGAGCCACAUCCAGACUGGCCUUGAAUGCUUCCAGGGAUGGGGCAUCCACAACCUCCUUGGGCAACCUGUUCCUGUGUAUCACCAACCUCUGGGCAAAAAACUUCCUCCUAAUAUCCAACCUAAAUCUCCCGUCUUAAUUUAAAACCAUUCCCCUUUGUCCUAUCACUAUCAACCAAAGUAAAUAGUCGUUCCCCCUCCUGUUUGUAUACUCCCUUCAAGUACUGUAAGGCCACAAUAAUAUCUCCCCAAAGCCUUCUCCUCUCCAAGCUAAACAAGCUAAGUUUCCUCUGCCUUUCUUCACAAGAGAGGUGCUCCAGCCCUCUGAUCAUCUUAGUGGCCCUCCUCUGAAUCCAUUCCAAGAGCUCUGCAUCUUUCUUGUGCUGGGGGCCCAGGCCUGGAUGCAGUACUCCAGAUAAGGCCUCACAAGAGCUGAGUAGAAGGGAACAGUCACCUCCCUCUCCCUGCUGGCCACCCUUUUUUAAUGCCCAGGAUAUAGUUGGCCAUCUGGGCUGCAAUAAGAUCCAGCAAAGCACCUCUCCUCAUUGGCUUCUCUUUCGCUUGGGUGAUGAAUUUGUCACUGCUGCACUUCAUGAACCUCCUGCACUGUUUAUGCCCUGCUGUCUUAUCCUUCUAAUAGAUGUGAAGGUAGUUGAAUUUCCCCAUGAAGAUCAGGGCCUGAGGACAUUAGAAUGCUCCUGUCUCUUCAGAGAGGGUCUCAUCUGCUUUUUCUUCCUGAUUAGGUGGACUGCAUCAGAUAACCACUGAAGUGUCACUCUUAAAUGUCUUCUCUUUAAUCCCCACAUCUGAGCUUUCAACAGGUUCUUCAUACAUCCCCACAUGGGGCUACAUAUAUCUUUACUGUUCUUGCUUAAGAGGCAAUUACAUCUUCUCAUCUUCCUAACCUGUCUUUCUAAAGAACUUAUGUCUCUUCAUGGCAAUACUCCUGAUAUGGAAGCCUUUCCAUCACGUCUUUGCAAUACCAACAGGACUGCAGCCAUGCAGCUGUGCACAGGUCUCUAAAUCAUUGUGUUCAUUCCCCAUGUUGUGUGUAUUAGUGCACAUAUACUUAUGAGUGUUAAAAGAAAACAUUAAUUUUACCAUGUUGUCCAUUUACAAAACUCCACAUACCUUCAUAGUCAUCAGAUGAAACUCAUGCUUAAUUUAUAAUGAUGUUGCUCAAAUAAAAUUUUUGACCUAGAAAUCUUUUACAUUUUUAUUUUUUUCUUCACCCAUUUAUCUUUGCUUCCAAACUUGUUAACCUGUUUUUGCAUUCCUUUCCCAUGCAAAGGUGUUUAAGUUUAAAUAGAGUGCAGAAGAGAGGAACUGAUUCUAAUGCCAACUCAACUUGAGAAGCUUUGUCCCCAGAAUCUCUGCAUCAGAUUGUCUUGACAUCUUUGCUAUUCUGGAUACUAUGAAGCACAGUCGUUCAUGGGAAAUGAGAAUCUUCUCCACAGUUAUUAGGUAAGAAAGCUGCUCUUGCCCUGAUUUUGGGUUUAAAUGUAGUAAUACAACACGGUAUAUUGCUUUGUUCAUUAAUUGGUUGUUAAGCAGAUUGUUUUAGUUGUCUCUUUGUAGAUAUAAAGCACUAUUUGCAAAGCAACAGUUUGUUCCAAGCAGAGCUGUCUGUCUUAGCAAUCAAAGCCUGCAAUCAUAUUUCUGCUCAUUUUGAAGGCUCACUGUGAAAUCUUUCAGGAAUUAGAACUGCAC
ensembl:lncRNA